rnacentral:rRNA from 1 species
GACAGAGGACUCGAGCGUUAGGCGGAAUCACUGGGCUUAAAGCGUGUGUAGGCGGAUCGGUAAGUCCCUUGUGAAAUCCCACAGCUUAACUGUGGAACUGCUUGGUAUACUGCCAGUCUUGAGCCACUUAGGGGCUACCGGAACAAAUGGUGGAGCGGUGAAAUGCGUAGAUAUCAUUUGGAACGCCAAUGGUGAAAACAGGUAGCUGGGAGUGUGCUGACGCUGAGACACGAAAGCCAGGGGAGCAAACGGG